AACCAUUCCUCGGUUCAGUGAUAAUCUAUAACAGAUUUGUUUUAUCGAUUUCAAGGUGCUGGCACCCUGGCAAUGUUUUGCACUCCCGGAAUGGCAUCAAAAACGGAACCACAUAAUCCAUCACGUUACGAAAGUCGAUCCCUUUGGUAAACAAACGCGUGAAAUGUAUGGCUUGGUCCCUAUUUGCCGUAGAUAAUCAAUCGGUUCGAACUGUACCGGGGCAGCCGCCUGGGUUUGUUUACCCACGAGGGCCGGUCGCGCACCAGGCAAGGACGCGCGCGCGUCUAGGAGAGGCUAGCAAACUAUUAGUAACCCAAAAUGUGGCCAGACACCGCUGCGUGUUUGAAAGCAGGCGCACACGUUGUUUGAUUAGCUGAUUGGAAAAUGUGAUGUAAUGGGUUAAAUACGACGUGCUGUGGCUGGGCAGGAGCGCAGCACCGCCAUUAAACGCCUUCGGAGAAAAUGUGGCAAUACAACACACGCACAUACACAAGUACCCCUUAUAAACGGUUGGAACACCAAACCCCUUUUCCCUCGGGGAUUCCGGUGGGAACACACUAACCGAGUGCCGAGCGACCCCUCGUUUGCUGCACUUAAUAUGCUGUUGGAAUUCUCCCGGGGGUCCGGUCGGGGCUGUUUCGUUUGCGAGCAUUGCGUGCGGCACGGACGGUGCAUUUUCCACGUACAUCAAGCCCAUCAGCCUUGAUUGUGUGUGUGUGUGCGCGCCACUGUGGCACUGUGGAGGCUUAUCGUGUCGGCUGACGACGGGAACGCCCCUACUCGCCCCAGCAGCACGAGGGCGGAAACACGUCCACGGAGUGGUGACGAUUAGUCCAAGGAUUAUUGACUCGAACGGCGUGUGCGCCCGGGGGGAAAGUCCUGUUGUUCGCUCUUACCAUCCAUCGAGCCCAUGCCGGGGAAAGAUUGCAUGAUUUAAUUUAAUCUACCCCCGUUUUCUAUUCCACUCACCAUUUGCCUCUUGCGUACAGAAAAGAACUGCGCACAGCACGGAAUGGAUAUUGCGCUGUUUGAAUGGUGGAGCACAAAUAGAGCGUCCCCUACGUGUCACGCUUGCUGACGAGUUAGGGGUUGUUUUUCUUUUUACUGUUUUGGUUGUUAAACAUAAACGGUCUGCACAAGCGGCCGGUAGUAUUGAAAGCAUACACAGAGCACAAUACAUUUAAAACAGCAGCUUGGAAAAACCAAUCGACGUACAAAACGCUAAUCGCUAAUGCACUGUAUUUCGUAGCAUUUGUGCAGACAAACAGCGUUAAUAAAACAUUGCCAUACACACACACACAUCUUCAGUACGAAAGUUGCUGGAAGGCGACACUGGGCAAAACCAUAACGCCAUUAGGCGCUAGCCUUUUGCGUACUGGUACUGCGUCCCACAGGACGCACACUCGACUGUUAAGUUAAGUCGUGUUCCAAGUGGCCAUAGACUCUUCCAUCCACCCGCACGAACUCUCAUCGACACUGGUGGUGUACAACAAUACCCGUACAUGAUCCUGUAACAGUGCGGCGUUUAUCCUUAGCCGGGAAGUGCUCGCCGUGUGU